rnacentral:tRNA from 2 species
CCGCUCGUAGUGAAACUGGAUAUCACGCGACGCUUCGAACGUCGUAAUGAGGGUUCGAAUCCUUCCGAGCGGA